rnacentral:rRNA from 1 species
UACGUAGGGUGCAGGCGUUAAUCGGAAUUACUGGGCGUAAAGCGUGCGCAGGCGGUUUGCUAAGACAGGUGUGAAAUCCCCGGGCUUAACCUGGGAACUGCGCUUGUAACUGGCAAGCUUGAGUGCGGCAGAGGGGGGUGGAAUUCCACGUGUAGCAGUGAAAUGCGUAGAGAUGUGGAGGAACACCGAUGGCGAAGGCAGCCCCCUGGGUCGACACUGACGCUCAUGCACGAAAGCGUGGGGAGCAAACAGG